rnacentral:lncRNA from 1 species
AAGGAUUCACAAACGAUGCAUUAUGCUUGACCAAUAAUUUUCCCUGUUUCAUUUACUUUUAUUUUCCAUGUUAUUGUCGAACUCCAAAAAAAUCUGUGCCAUAAACUGGAUUUUAGGCAAUCUGCCACCUGGUUCACACUCUUCAUUGUCAUCAAAUAUACUAGCUGCAUUGAUCAAAAGUGAUGAUGUAAAGGUGUAUGGAUAUAACACAGUUCUACAACCUUUGAUUAAUGACAUAGUUAUUUGAGAGCAACAUGGAAUAUUUGUGGUCAAGUUAGGAAAAUCUGUAAAGAGGACAGUACAAUUUGUUGUUGCUGACAACCUGGGUGGUCAUGGUUGUGCUGGUUUUCUGGACAGUUUUUCAAGAGCUUAUGUUUGUAGGUUCUGUACGGCUUCGAAAUUAGAAACUCAGACAAGUGGAGUAGGGAACAGAGCAUUUUCUUUAAGGACAGAGGAGCGGCACGCAAAACAUCUUAAAAACACUUGAGGAAGAGUCAAUGGGCAAUCAUUUUGAUGUUAAGAGGAGAGUGUUUUGUCAGAAAAACUUGCUCAUUUUAAUGUGACUACUGGCUUCCCAACAGACAUAGUACAUGAUUUAUUUGAAGGAAUUGUUCCUCUUUAAAUAGCUCUUUGUCUCUCUGUGGUCACCUCGAGGAAGUACUUUACUUUGGGAUUUUUGAAUGACUCCAUAAAUACUUUCCCCUUCAAGUGGACAAAUAAAGCGAAUGGUUUAAUUGCCUGCAUUCACUGAAAUUGGUUAUCAAAAAGGGGUUGUUCUUCAUUGUUCAGAAACUAAGUUCUGAACACAUUAUCUAUCUGUCUUUGAUAUAUAUACCACCUAUUCCCCAGGUGAACGCAGAGUUCCUGAGAGUAACCACAAUACCCCUUGAAGCCAGAUUCAUGCAGAAACUGGACGAGAAGUGCAGUGAACUGAUGCAGGUCGUCAGAAAGAAGGGUGGAGCCAUUCGGGAGAAGACUAGGCUGCUGACAAUUGUAGAAAAGGUGUCAGAGAAGGAAGAGGCUGAACAAAUUCUUCAGCAAGAAACCAUGGCAAUCUUCGUCAUACACAAACUGUACCCAAAGACAUUGGCAUCAUAGUUGGGGGACAAGAGGUUGUGAGCGAGUUGCCAUCUGUCGCAAAUGCUGUUGCCAUUCUCCUGGGCCUCUAUUAUGCUCUUAAUCUGGAAUAUCCCAAGACAUUGAAACUGACAGUAGUAGGUUCAGUAUUUCAAUAGUAGGAGCUGUCGAGCCUUGAAGCAUGUAAAGCUCAGUUCAGACCACAAUUGCAAUGCAUUUCUAGUAGUGAUUAAACAGUGAAAAUACAGUUUAAUUUCCCUGAUUCACUGUUUUGUUCUCGAUUACAGCUAUUGAUUUGUAAGGUCAAUAAUAUGUUGGGUUACCA